AGUGAACGCUGGCGGUAGGCCUAACACAUGCAAGUCGAACGGCAGCACAGUAAGAGCUUGCUCUUACGGGUGGCGAGUGCGGACGGGUGAGGAAUACAUCGGAAUCUACUUUUUCGUGGGGGAUAACGUAGGGAAACUUACGCUAAUACCGCAUACGACCUACGGGUGAAAGCAGGGGAUCUUCGGACCUUGCGCGAUUGAAUGAGCCGAUGUCGGAUUAGCUAGUUGGCGGGGUAAAGGCCCACCAAGGCGACGAUCCGUAGCUGGUCUGAGAGGAUGAUCAGCCACACUGGAACUGAGACACGGUCCAGACUCCUACGGGAGGCAGCAGUGGGGAAUAUUGGACAAUGGGCGCAAGCCUGAUCCAGCCAUACCGCGUGGGUGAAGAAGGCCUUCGGGUUGUAAAGCCCUUUUGUUGGGAAAGAAAAGCAGCAGGUUAAUACCCCGCUGUUCUGACGGUACCCAAAGAAUAAGCACCGGCUAACUUCGU
rnacentral:rRNA from 1 species